UUCCAGACUCCUACGGGAGGCAGCAGUGAGGAAUAUUGGUCAAUGGACGAGAGUCUGAACCAGCCAAGUAGCGUGAAGGAUGACUGCCCUAUGGGUUGUAAACUUCUUUUAUAUGGGAAUAAAACAGGGUAUGCAUACCCUCUUGUAUGUACCAUAUGAAUAAGGAUCGGCUAACUCCGUGCCAGCAGCCGCGGUAAUACGGAGGAUCCGAGCGUUAUCCGGAUUUAUUGGGUUUAAAGGGUGCGUAGGCGGGCUGUUAAGUCAGCGGUCAAAUGUCGGGGCUAAACCCCGGCCUGCCGUUGAAACUGGCGGCCUCGAGUGGGCGAGAAGUAUGCGGAAUGCGUGGUGUAGCGGUGAAAUGCAUAGAUAUCGCGCAGAACUCCGAUUGCGAAGGCAGCAUACCGGCGCCCGACUGACGCUGAGGCACGAAAGCGUGGGUAUCGAACAGGAUUAGAUACCCUCGUAGA
rnacentral:rRNA from 1 species